UACGGAGGAUGCAAGCGUUAUCCGGAAUGAUUGGGCGUAAAGCGUCCGCAGGUGGCUGUGUAAGUCUGCUGUUAAAGAGUGAGGCUCAACCUCAUAAAAGCAGUGGAAACUACACGGCUAGAGUGCGUUCGGGGCAGAAGGAAUUCCUGGAGUAGCGGUGAAAUGCGUAGAGAUCAGGAAGAACACCGGUGGCGAAAGCGUUCUGCUAGACCUGUACUGACACUGAGGGACGAAAGCUAGGGGAGCGAAUGGG
rnacentral:rRNA from 1 species